rnacentral:piRNA from 1 species
CGGAUAAUUACAAACCUAUGAUCAUGG